AUGAACGCUGGCGGCGUGCCUAAUACAUGCAAGUCGAGCGAACGGACGAGAAGCUUGCUUCUCUGAUGUUAGCGGCGGACGGGUGAGUAACACGUGGAUAACCUACCUAUAAGACUGGGAUAACUUCGGGAAACCGGAGCUAAUACCGGAUGAUAUUUUGAACCGCAUGGUUCAAAAGUGAAAGACGGUCUUGCUGUCACUUAUAGAUGGAUCCGCGCUGCAUUAGCUAGUUGGUAAGGUAACGGCUUACCAAGGCAACGAUGCAUAGCCGACCUGAGAGGGUGAUCGGCCACACUGGAACUGAGACACGGUCCAGACUCCUACGGGAGGCAGCAGUAGGGAAUCUUCCGCAAUGGGCGGAAGCCUGACGGAGCAACGCCGCGUGAGUGAUGAAGGUCUUCGGAUCGUAAAACUCUGUUAUUAGGGAAGAACAUAUGUGUAAGUAACUGUGCACAUCUUGACGGUACCUAAUCAGAAAGCCACGGCUAACUACGUG
rnacentral:rRNA from 1 species